ensembl:lincRNA Gm14246 predicted gene 14246
GCAUAGGCACAGAUGUGCACUCACACAUCAAUUUCUAAUGAAGGAAGCAGUCUUCGGCUAAGGAUGGAUGGGGUCUCAUGAGCAAACAACCCACUCCAGUGUUGCGUGUCAUUGAGAGGCAACACAGAAUCUCACAAUGUCCUUAGCAAGAGUAUGUACUAGUCGCUCAAGGCAUUACCUUGCUGACUGCUGCACCAUUUAAUGACUGUUCUCUUUCUGGUCUCCUUUGAUGAGCCCACUGUUCUGUCUUCAUCUCCAAGAUGACCAUUUGCCUUUAAACCCAUGCUUCAAGGUCUUUGCCCCAAGGGAAUCCAGAGCCAGAUACUGCCCUGUGAGGGAGAAAGAUUUUUAUUGACUCCCUUAGUUUAGACCAAAAAAGAAAUGGAACCAGAGAAAGGUUGGCUAACUUGUGGAAGAUGAAAUGGCUGGAAAGAGACAAACCUUGGCAUCAAACUCAGGCUCAAAGUCUGUGUGGCAAACCCACCACUCCUGGGAGAACCACACAAUCACAGAGCGCUCUAGCUGCAUUGCCCUGGCUCUUGGAAACAGACGACAGGGCUAGGCCUCUUCUAAUCCAAGCAUCUCGACCAACAUCACAGAAGCAGAACGAAUAUUACAUGGUUCUCUGACCGUCCACCAUGUUUUAUUUCCAACUGAUCUCUCUCUGAAUUUCCUACUCC